GACGAACGCUGGCGGCGUGCUUAACACAUGCAAGUCGAACGGUAAGGCCCUUCGGGGUACACGAGUGGCGAACGGGUGAGUAACACGUGGGUGAUCUGCCCUGCACUUCGGGAUAAGCCUGGGAAACUGGGUCUAAUACCGGAUAGUGCCACUGCCUGCAUGGGUGGUGGUGGAAAGCUUUUGCGGUGUGGGAUGGGCCCGCGGCCUAUCAGCUUGUUGGUGGGGUGAUGGCCGACCAAGGCGACGACGGGUAGCCGGCCUGAGAGGGUGACCGGCCACACUGGGACUGAGAUACGGCCCAGACUCCUACGGGAGGCAGCAGUGGGGAAUAUUGCACAAUGGGCGCAAGCCUGAUGCAGCGACGCCGCGUGAGGGAUGACGGCCUUCGGGUUGUAAACCUCUUUCAGCACCGACGAAGCGCAAGUGACGGUAGGUGCAGAAGAAGGACCGGCCAACUACGUGCCAGCAGCCGCAGUAA
rnacentral:rRNA from 1 species